AUGGACACUGUUCUCCCACAAUGCAAUGAACAAAGACAAUGGAGGAGUUUUACAUGGUAAAUGCUAGAUCAGAUCUGCUAGACGUGUCGACGUAGUUAGGUUUAGGAUCGAGGAGUGGGGAUUGGUUAGAGUUAGGAUAACAGGGGCAG